CCUGCUGGUAGUAGUGAUGACACAAUCAUCCUUGAAAUCAUGUCCUGCAACUCAGAUGACACAAUCCUACUGGAAGAGAAUGACACUCCAGCCAGAAAGCGACAGAGGGAAGAUGAAGACUCUAAACAUGUGGUUGAACUGGCGCUAACACAGAAACCUGGGGGAGAUCGUAUCAUCAAAGAGUACCACCGCACCAAAAGUCUGAGUGACUCCUCACGCCGACAAAUGAUCAAUAUACUUGUGGCUGACAUGACUGAAAAGCAUGGGACGGCCCCACCACGGAAUGUGAGGGAGAUGUACGCCCGAGGUAUAAUCGAGCUCUUCCCAUACCUGAUGGAUCCCUACUCUAAAAAUGGAUACGUAAGUGUUUGCAUGAGAAAAAAUUUUGUGCAUGUGCUCAUAAAAUC